GCAUUGGUGUUUCAGUGGUAGAAUUCUAGCUUGCCAUGUUGGAGACCUGGGUUUGAUUCCCACGCAACAAGCA
rnacentral:tRNA from 1 species